UAAGACGAACCGUGCGAACGUUGUUCGGAAUCACUGGGCUUAAAGGGCGCGUAGGCUGCCUGCUUAGUCGGGGGUGAAAUCUUUCGGCUUAACCGGAAAAUUGCCUUCGAUACUGGCAGGCUCGAGCGAGGUAGGGGCGGAUGGAACUUCCGGUGGAGCGGUGAAAUGUGUUGAUAUCGGAAGGAACGCCGGUGGCGAAAGCGAUCCGCUGGACCUCUUCUGACGCUGAGGCGCGAAAGCCAGGGGAGCAAACGGGAUUAGAUACCCCGGUAGUCCUGGCCUUAAACGAUGGGUACUGAGUAGUGGACUUACAUGGGUUCACUGCUGAAGCAAAAGUGGUAAGUACCCCGCCUGGGGAGUAUGGUCGCAAGGCUG
rnacentral:rRNA from 1 species